rnacentral:rRNA from 1 species
UACAGAGGUGGCAAGCGUUGUUCGGAAUUACUGGGCGUAAAGCGCGUGUAGGCGGUUGUUCAAGUCAGGCGUGAAAGCCUUGAGCUCAACUCAAGAAAUGCACUUGAUACUGGAUGACUAGAGGACCGGAGAGGAUAGUGGAAUUCCCAGUGUAGUGGUGAAAUACGUAGAGAUUGGGAAGAACACCAGUGGCGAAGGCGGCUAUCUGGACGGUUUCUGACGCUAAGACGCGAAAGCGUGGGGAGCAAACAGG